rnacentral:rRNA from 1 species
ACGUAGGGUGCGAGCGUUAAUCGGAAUUACUGGGCGUAAAGCGUGCGCAGGCGGUUUUGUAAGACAGGCGUGAAAUCCCCGGGCUCAACCUGGGAACUGCGUUUGUGACUGCAAGGCUAGAGUACGGCAGAGGGGGGUGGAAUUCCACGUGAAGCAGGGAAAUGCGUAGAGAUGUGGGGGAAUACCAGUGGGGGAGGCAGGCCAAUGGGUCGAUAUUGACGCUCAUGCACGAAAGCGUGGGUAGCAAGCAG